CGUGUAGGCGGCCAAACAGGUCCGUUGUGAAAACUGGAGGCUCAACUUCCAGACGUCGACGGAAACCGUAUGGCUAGAGUCCGGAAGAGGAGAGUGGAAUUCCUGGUGUAGCGGUGAAAUGCGCAGAUAUCAGGAAGAACACCAAUGGCGAAGGCAGCUCUCUGGGACGGUACUGACGCUGAGACGCGAAAGCGUGGGAGCGAACA
rnacentral:rRNA from 1 species